rnacentral:rRNA from 1 species
CCGCACAAGCAGCGGAGCAUGCGGCUUAAUUCGACGCAACGCGAAGAACCUUACCAAGGCUUGACAUAUACAGGAAUAUGGCAGAGAUGUCAUAGCCGCAAGGUCUGUAUACAGGUGGUGCAUGGUUGUCGUCAGCUCGUGUCGUGAGAUGUUGGGUUAAGUCCCGCAACGAGCGCAACCCUCGUUCUGUGUUGCCAGCAUUAAGUUGGGGACUCACAGGAGACUGCCGGGGUUAACUCGGAGGAAGGUGGGGAUGACGUCAAAUCAUCAUGCCCCUUAUGUCUUGGGCUGCACGCAUGCUACAAUGGCUGGUACAAACGGCUGCGAUACCGCAAGGUGGAGCGAAUCCGAUAAAGCCAGUCUCAGUUCGGAUUGGGGUCUGCAACUCGACCCCAUGAAGUCGGAGUUGCUAGUAAUCGUAGAUCAGCAACGCUACGGUGAAUACGUUCCCGGGGCUUGUACACACCGCCCGUCACGUCACGAAAGUCGGUAACACCCGAAGUCAGUGGCCCAACCGCAAGGAGG